CUUUUGGUUGUGUGGUUGUGCAGGAGCUGUCUGUCAUGCAUUGAACCAGCGAUCAGCACCAAGCAUCUUUCCUACCAGAGCUUCCAGCUGUUUGGAUUCGACUUCAUGGUGGACGUGAACUUCAAAGUGUGGCUCAUUGAGAUCAACGGAGCACCAGCCUGUGCACAGAAGCUGUACCCUGAGCUGUGUCAAGGCAUUGUGGAUGUAGCCAUUUCCAGUGUCUUUACCCUGAACAAUAGUGGUGACUGUUCGUCUUCGCCUUAUUCUUCCUCUCCAUCCUCCCUGUUCUCGACCAACGCUUGCUCCUCACCUAAACUGAGAGGGCCGCUUCACAUUGGCCCUUUUACUCGACUUUAAGCACAAGGCCAAUCACCCUCCCUUGUCCUCUCUGCUGAAGGAGAAGCAAAGGCCAUCAAAUUGUAAUGUCAGCAUUUAUUGUCCCUCGUCUUUCACGCACGUGUGUAUUCGAUCUGCAGAUGGCGUACUCUUUGUUGAUUUGAAAAGCAAAACAAAAUGAAAAGGUACCAACCAUUCUGUGAAUGUCCUUUACAGCCAAGAAUUCUUACUUUGCCCCCCCCGACAGAUAGUUAGGAGUCUUGAGAAAGUGUAGAUGCUCAAGAUUAAACUUGUGCCUUACAUCUCCAGCCAUGAAACUGCCAACGUAACAACCAGCCAAUUUCUGUGUUGGGAGGUGCACGUUGGCAAUACAUUCAGCAGAGGGAGCUAGUGAGCAAGGAGGAGAUCCAGGUUACUGCAACUUUAUACAGUGAACUACUCACACUGGUUCCAGUUAUAUUGAACUGCGUCAUUAUCUCACCAACCAAGUACUGAUUUUUUUUUUGUUCCUUUAGACAUAUUAGUUAUUAGCCUGAAUAUAACAUUGUUGAUUUACUAUUCCUAAUCUAUUUUAGUCUUCAAUGUUUGCUUCUGGUAUAUUCUUAGUUGUUAUUGUUUGUCAUAGGUCAACAAUUUAUUUAAUUUUUACUCACUCUUUUCGUUUAUUCUACAGAAUGGAGAUUGGGCCUGUGGGCACCUUAAUCCAGAAUAUCUGGAUUAGUCAUGGAAGCCACUGUGUUUCAGAUUUAUUUAUGAAUAACAAAAUAUAAGUAAUCCCGUGUUCAUUAGAACGGACCCGUUGUAGCCGAAAAGAUGAAAGAUGAAAAAGAUGUUGUGUAAUUACAGAUAGGCUUUUCAUAUUAUUUUGCUGACAAGUUGGUAAAUAAUAUAAAUGCAGAUUUUUUGUAUGUUCUGUUUUAGCAAAAAUGUUGAUUGCUUUCCCCAAACCCCCCGAGGGCAAAAGGUGUCUGAGAGGGGAUUUUGUGUGUGUGUGCGUGUGUGUGUAUUUUCUUUUAACUAACAUUUGUGUCUCCUUAAAUUGGUCUGUAUUUCUUUGUCACCAAAACCUUACAUUUAAAUGUUAUUUUUUUUUUUGUACAUCAUGAUUUCAUGUUUGUUUCACUGUUUUAUAUAUCUUCAUCCCAACCAAAGAUGAAAUGCUGUAUGUUAAAUAGAUUCUCAAGUCGUGUGCUUCAAUCUGAAUAAGUCAAUGAGCUGAUCUGAAAUUGAGCGUCAUCGAAGGAUGUGGUGUUGUGUUUUCGUUUGCUGGUGUGAUUUUUCAAAUGUUGCAUGGUCGUGUGUCAAACUGUAUUACAGAAUAAAAACAUGAAUCCCCCG